GAAACAGGACCUCUUCAGUAAACAUAGAGAGGAGUUUCUCCAGUACUCUCACUACAUAUAGUGAGGACCAAACCAGAAGUGGACUCCUUGUUGGUCACUUAGGCUAGACUUCUUCAAGCUCAGACUCCCUGCCACCCCUCCUCUCUCCCUCCUGUCCUUCCCCCACUGUCUCCAGGCCCCUACACAGACUGGAACAGUACUGUGAUGUUCUAGAGGAGCUGGGAAGGUUAAACCCCGCCUCUGACUCCUUCCUCUCCGUCCUCAGACACGCCCAGCGCCACGGUGAGGACCUCCGGGCCAGCGACCUCAUCGUCAGGUGUCCGGUCCCGGUGGCGGAGCGUGGAGAUCUGGUGCGUCAGGUGUGUGGGAGGACCAGGAGGAAGAAUACCGGGGUGUGUUCCUCUAUCAACCCCUCAUCAUCUUCACCAAGCAGAAGAGCCCGGGACACACCGCCUACAGCUUCAAUCACAGCAUCAAGUGUCAGAGUGGAGAGGAGAGGGCAGCCUGGACACACGAUAUCGCUCAGCUCCUUUGGACCCACACCAUACACAAUACAGAUGAACGUGGUACCUUCAGGCGUUUGGAAAUUGCUCCCAAGGAUGAACCAGACUUGUGGAGGUCUUGGAUGAUUUCUUUUGAUUUUCCCAUGAUGUCAAGAAAAGAGGCACUGAGUUUGAAGUUCACAGUAGCUGUUCAGACUCCUCCUCUGUUGGCAGUCAGAAGGAGGGGGAAUCCCCAGCAUCUGGGAGGGGACACACACACAGAAACUGGAUUCCGGACUCCAAAACAACUUACAUUUUACAUUUACAUAACUUCUCUAUUGGAAGUGUAAACCUGGAGAUAAAGCAAACAAAGAGACAUUACGGCUCUAACUAACCCAGGAUCUAGCAUCAACAGAGCCUGCUGUGGAUGGCCAUGUUGGAUCGGCCGGACACAGUUGCUCGCAGAGUCAUUGAUACCGUGGACACUCCAGCCACACAGAAGGAGCAUUGUCCUCCCUCUGCGGCUCCCCGCUAGGCCAAACCACUCUGUCUGAACCACUGACUGGCAGCCAUGGCCUAGUGUGUGUGUGUGUGUGUGUGUGUGUGUGUGUGUGUGUGUGU
rnacentral:lncRNA from 1 species